ensembl:ncRNA lncRNA:CR44295 long non-coding RNA:CR44295
CUGAAACGAUUUUUGAUAUCGCUUGAUAAGUCAAGCAGAACAAUAAAGUGCGUCAAUUUACAAGGCUCGAACGAUUUGGAUAUCAAAUCGAUUCAAGGUUAAUCACUUUGGUAAGAAGAAUAGCCACCAAAAGAGCAGUUUUCCCACUCAGACGCAUGUUGUAAUCAUCAUGCCUCAUGCGCAAUAAGUUGCUUCGCAUUGCUGCUGGCCAAAACCGGUUCUUUCUUAACUCAAUCCAAGCUAUAUGGCUAAAACACAAGCGCAAAAGGGAGCAACCAAAAGGAAAAUCUUGCUCAAGAAUAAUGGAUCUAAGACAAACAAAAAAAAAAGUGCAACAAGUGGGUGGGCAACUUGUUGUUUUUAACGGAAAACGGGGACUUAAAAGAAUUUGUUUUAUAAUUAGAAUUGGAAAAAAUGCGGUGACAAGAAAAUUGCAAGACGUUUGGGACAAGUACAGAAAAGAAGCUCCCAGCUUUUGUUUUGGUUUGUUUAUGAAAAAAUGGUUUCGGCAGAGCAAGUUUUCUAUGUGGUCAUGGAAUGCAAUGGUCAUGUCUCUGCGCACUGUGCUCAAGGUGAAAUAAUUAAAUCGAACAUAAAUUCAGGGGCACAGAUUGGAAUUUCGAAGCACGCAGACUUGAGAUAACAAUGCGCAUCCCAAUUUACCAACAUUGAACAUUAUUGGCCACCUUAAACUUGCAACAAAUGAACACGGCAAAUAUUGCCUGUUGUGAGGGCAAACAGUUUAAAAUCAAAUAUGUGGACCCAGCCCUUCAUCUUCCGUUCGGAUGCAUUAUUUUCGCUAUUAUGAGAAGAUAGUUGUCUGCUCAUCGAGAUAAGACGGUGCCAUAGUUCCGGCCAGUAACAAUGCAAUGUGGUUCGCAGCGCCAGCAAUUUGUGUGUACUCGUCUGCCAUUGUUCCUUGGCUACGAAGCUGCGCUUAAGUUUCUUGACUUUGCCCCUCUUCACCCAGAAGAGCGCUAUUAAAGUGUUUGAUGUCAUAGAAGGCGUUAGUUGCAGUUGGGACUACUUUGAUAUGUAGUUAACCGCGUUUGAAAUCGAAAACAUCAUUUUUUACAUCAUCAUUAUUAUUUUAAAUUAUUUAU